rnacentral:rRNA from 1 species
GUGUCAGCAGCCGCGGUAAUACGAAUGGGGCAAGCGUUGUUCGGAUUUACUGGGCGUAAAGCGGGCGUAGGCGGCCGGCUAAGUCGGAUGUGAAAUCCCGGGGCUCAACUCCGGAACUGCAUUCGAUACUGGUCGGCUAGAGUUCGAGAGGGGGAUGCGGAAUUCCGCGUGUGGCAGUGAAAUGCGUAGAUAUGCGGAGGAACACCUGAGGCGAAGGCGGCAUCCUGGAUCGACACUGACGCUGAGGCCCGAAAGCGUGGGGAGCAAACAGGAUUAGAUACCCUGGUAGUCCACGCCCUAAACGAUGGCUACUAGCCGUUGCGGGUAUCGACCCCUGCAGUGGCGCAGCUAACGCGAUAAGUAGACCGCCUGGGGAGUACGGCCGCAAGGUUAAAACUUAAAUGAAUUGGCGGGG